AACGCGAAGAACCUUACCCAGGCUUGAACAGCGAGUGACCAUCGACGAAAGUUGACUUCCGCAAGGACACUCGUAGAGGUGCUGCAUGGCUGUCGUCAGCUCGUGUCGUGAGAUGUUGGGUUAAGUCCCGCAACGAGCGCAACCCUCGUCCUAUGUUGCCAGCGGAUAAUGCCGGGGACUCAUAGGAGACUGCCGGGGUCAACUCGGAGGAAGGUGGGGAUGACGUCAAGUCCUCAUGCCCCUUAUGUCUUGGGCUGCAAACAUGCUACAAUGGCCAGUACAAAGGGUUGCGAGACCGCAAGGUGGAGCGAAUCCCAAAAAGCUGGUCUCAGUUCGGAUUGGGGUCUGCAACUCGACCCCAUGAAGUCGGAGUCGCUAGUAAUCGCAGAUCAGCAACGCUGCGGUGAAUACGUUCCCGGGCCUUGUACACACCGAGUAUA
rnacentral:rRNA from 1 species